UGGUAAGGUAACAGCUUACCAAGGCAACGAUCAGUGGCCGGCCUGAGAGGGUGGACGGCCACACUGGGACUGAGACACGGCCCAGACUCCUACGGGAGGCAGCAGUGGGGAAUAUUGUGCAAUGGGGGCAACCCUGACACAGCGACGCCGCGUGAGCGAAGAAGGCCUUCGGGUCGUAAAGCUCUGUUUUAUGGGACGAACACUAUAUAUGUGAACAAUGUAUAUAGCUGACGGUACCAUACGAGCAAGCCCCGGCUAACUAUGUGCCAGCAGCCGCGGUAAGACAUAGGGGGCUAGCGUUGUCCGGAAUUACUGGGCAUAAAGGGCACGUAGGCGGGUACUUAAGUCAGGUGUGAAAGACCGCAGCUUAACUGCGGGGUUGCAUUUGAAACUGAGUACCUUGAGGGCAGGAGAGGAAAGCAGAAUUCCUGGUGUAGCGGUGAAAUGCGUAGAAAUCAGGAGGAAUACCGGUGGCGAAGGCGGCUUUCUGGACUGACCCUGACGCUGAGGUGCGAAAGCGUGGGUAGCAAACAGGAUUAGAUACCCUGGUAGUCCACGCUGUAAACUAUGGAUACUAGGUGUGGGAGGUAUCGACCCCUUCUGUGCCGUAGUUAA
rnacentral:rRNA from 1 species